UUUUUUUUUUUUUUUUAGCUUAAUCUUGAAAUACUAUAGAAUUUCUGAUUAAAACAGGUGUUGGAGUCAUUAGAAAGUGUUAAAUGAAUGACUCACUGAAUGAUCCUGGUGUUUUGAUCCAUUGUAAUCCACUGUGUGCGGCGCAGCGCUGCUGCUCUUUAAACCUGUUUUUGUGAGCGUCUGUUUUGAACAGACUGCUGGUGUGUCAGACCUGGAAACCGGCUGUGUUUGAGCUCUGGAGAACUGCGUCACUCCCAAAACAUUUCCUGGUGUAUCGGAGUGGAGACAGGCGGAGGAAGAAGCAGGUGGAAGACUGAAAAGUUUUUCUGAUUGUUAGUCUGAUAUAAAAGCUUAAUUCUAACCCAAUAAUAUCAGUGUGAAAUGUGAUCUGUGUCUCCAGGGGUCUCUGCUCCAUCCUGACUGGAGGGGAGGAAAAACCUGACUGAAGAUGUCUGGUGUGGAUGAAGAGGAGGACGGAUCAGAGUGUGAGGACAGGUUGUCUCUGAAGAGCAACAAGUCCAUAGAUCAUCCUCCAAAAUUCAGUAUUGAACCUGGACCCGCAGACUCAAAAUGUCAGCAGCUUAGACACACAACAGAGUCUUCAGGAUCCAGCAGUUGUUCUCUGAAGAGUGACUGGUCCAAAGAACGUCCUCCAAACUUCAGUGGUGAACCUGGAGUUUCGGACACACAGUUAGAAACUGUUUCACUUUCAUUUCCUCAAUAUCAGUGUGUAUUGAUUGUCUUUUAUCCAUAAUUUGAUAAAUUCGCAUUUUAAAGCGCUCUGUGUGCUCUGAUGUUGAGUCAUUAUGCUGGUAAAAAUACAUUUGCCAUUAAAGCUUGCUGCGCCUGUCAAACUGUCUCACAGUAGCCACAUUCACAUGGGUUCAAAAAUCUGCCUUAUAAUCAUGUGUGGUCAGACAGACUGAAAAUGUCUCACAUAAACAUUUGAGUGAAUCAGAUUCACUCCUAUCAGGUUAAAUGUCAUAACAUUGUCAGAUGUAGUCUACCCUGACUGAUAAUCUGCUUGAUGCCAGAGGGUUCUUCAUUCCACUCAUGCGCUCCCUCGUACAGAGAGUCACAUGAUGACAUGAGCAGAAAACAGGAAGCAGGAAUCAGGAAAGUCAAAAACAAAACAAGCAGGAGUACUGGACGGUGGUUUAGAAAAAAAAAACUUUUGAUAGAAACUCAGAGAGCAAAAACUUGAGGUGCAAUGGACGCAAAUCGCAGAAGAGCAAGUUGUCAAACAGUUCUGAGGCGGACAGCAAGCAGGCCACCCGCUACCCGCUACCCAGCGUCAGGCCGCCACCCGUUAUUUGAAAACUGUGAUAGUUCUACAUUUCAAUCCAUUCAGUGUGUUCUGAUCGAUUUGGACAGUCAAAAUGAAGAAACUUUGCGACCUUCAAUCUGAAUUCAGUGCAUUGAACACACCACCAUACGCUUCUGGUUUGUGUGUGUAGAUAUCAGCAGCCCAGGCAGACAGCAGAGUCUUCAGGAUCAAUCUGGUCGUCUGUGAAGAGUUUCUGGUCCAACUAUUUUCUCCCAACAUUCUUCAGGGGUGAAUCUUCAGACUCAAAAGAGAAGAAGAGCAGUGAUGUCUGUGAGGAGCAGCCAGAAAGAUCCAGAAGCGUCACUG